AUUGAACGCUGGCGGAAUGCUUUACGCAUGCAAGUCGAGCGGCAGCACGGGGGCAGCCCUGGUGGCGAGUGGCGAACGGGUGAGUAAUACAUCGGAACGUGCCCGGUCGUGGGGGAUAACGUAGCGAAAGUUACGCUAAUACCGCAUACGAUCUGAGGAUGAAAGCGGGGGACCUUCGGGCCUCGCGCGAUCGGAGCGGCCGAUGUCAGAUUAGGUAGUUGGUGGGGUAAAGGCCUACCAAGCCGACGAUCUGUAGCUGGUCUGAGAGGACGACUAGCCACACUGGGACUGAGACACGGCCCAGACUCCUACGGGAGGCAGCAGUGGGGAAUUUUGGACAAUGGGCGCAAGCCUGAUCCAGCCAUUCCGCGUGCAGGACGAAGGCCUUCGGGUUGUAAACUGCUUUUGUACGGAACGAAAAGGCUCUGGCUAAUACCUGGGGCUCAUGACGGUACCGUAAGAAUAAGCACCGGCUAACUACGUG
rnacentral:rRNA from 1 species